CGAAUCCUGAUGUGUUCGCAGCAUGCCAAUCAGUUUUGACCGAACAAUUAAAUCGUCGGGAGUCUAACUUUUAUUAUGUAUGACAUGCCCUUCAACGGGACGCCAGAAAUAGUAAAGAGGACACCCACCUGCUACUUGCGGGUUCAAAACGAUACGCUCUAUUUGUCGGCACGAUCGGGAUUCGU
rnacentral:other from 1 species